AGUGUAUGUAAACUUUUGACUUCAACUGUAUAUCUUCCUGGAUGUUUCCUAUGGCUGCCUGGAGAGCAAGAUGGUGACUACCUGUGAGGGUGCCGGUGUGGUGCAUUUGGAAUGUGGAGAUGGGGUGGUCUUUCUUCAGAAAGCACUGUAUGGACGCACAGACAGCCAGACCUGCAGUCAGGGACGACCUCAGAGUCAGCUGACUAACACAAAGUGUUCCCAGGAAGGAACUCUGGUCACAGA